UACGGGGGGGGGCAAGCGUUGUUCGGAAUUACUGGGCGUAAAGGGCUCGUAGGUGGCCAACUAAGUCAGACGUGAAAUCCCUCGGCUUAACCGGGGAACUGCGUCUGAUACUGGAUGGCUUGAGAUUGGGAGAGGGAUGCGGAAUUCCAGGUGUAGCGGUGAAAUGCGUAGAUAUCUGGAGGAACACCGGUGGCGAAGGCGGCAUCCUGGACCAACACUGACACUGAGGAGCGAAAGCCAGGGGAGCAAACGGGG
rnacentral:rRNA from 1 species